rnacentral:piRNA from 1 species
UAAAAACAGAGUAUACUGGAGACAAGGA